GAGAACUCUCAACAGAAGAAUCUAAAAUGGCUGAAAGACACUUAAGAACAAAUGUUGCUGCCCUACCUGUGCUCCACAUGAAGAGCUGCUUUGCUAAUGGCCUUAAAGCAGUGGGUGAAUGGACGUCAGAGGGAAGACAUAGACACUGGGGAGCCAAGGUAACAGUCGAUCAGUUGAGUGAAAUCAAGGCAAGAAACUUAAUCCGGACAAGAACCCGGAGGCACAAACUGAUCUGGAGGUCAUGGAGGAAUGUUGCUUAGUAGCUUACCACUCAUGAAUUCCUCAGCCUGCUUUUUUAUACCUUUCCAUGACCACCUACCCCAGGAUGGCACUGCCAUGUUUAGUUGGGUACUUUUACAUCAAUCACUGGUUAAAAAAUUCCUGCAAGUUUUUUCUGAGGCCAGUAUGGGAGGGGAAGCAUUUUCUUAAUUGACUAUCUUUCAUCCCAAAUAGCUCUAGCUUGUGUCAAGCAGACAUAAAUUAGCCAACAAAAUACUUGUAUAAAGGUUUUUAAAUGCGAAUAAUUAUAGUCUUGUUUGAACUUAACAAAUAUGAUUAGCAGAUAUUAAUAAGAUAUAAAUUAUUUUUGCAUUGUGUGUGAUAUUAUCUUUGCUAAAUGGACAAUUGACAUGCAGUUUAAAUACCUACACAGAGAAGUAGAAAGUUUUAACUAGAGUAGAAACAAAGAUUAAAAAGGAACAUAAGUGAAAGAACUGUAUCAUUAUUUAUUUUGUAAAAUACAUAAAAUAUUUGAUAAUAAUUAAACAGCAUUAAAAGUGUAUAUAUCCUUAAAUAUUUGAAGGUACAUCACCUGACAAUGUUCUGUCAUUAUUUGGAAUUGGUCUUUGUAUGGCACCUUGAGUGGUGCCAUUUGUUAUAUACAUUUUAAAUGAGUGCCCUAGAGUGCAGCACUAAGGGUAGAAAAGGGAAAUAUAGUCACUUUCAAGAAAUAUUCAGUUCAAUAUUAGAAAAAAAUAGCCUGAGAGAAUGUUAAUAUUAAGUCAAAUACCAUGGAGCCAUCAAACUUCUUCACAUUCCUUGAGAGACAAGAAUUCCAGAGGUUAGAAACUGAAGCACCAAGAAAGAAUAUUCUACACUGAAUAUUUAUUUAUGUUCAAUCGACAAAAUGUCUUCUCAUUAAAUGAGGAUCGGAGGGCAGUGACUAUUGAACCAAUGGACUGCCAAAAUAGGAAGCAACUGUUGCUUCUCUUCCUUACAGCACUUACCUUGCUUUAUAUUCAAGAUCCUGUAACUGUGACAUAAUAACCACUAAAAGGUUGUACAUACAGUAACAGGUGGCAUGCCUCCAGCCAAAUGGAUGAGCAGAUCAUUCCCCAAAUGUUGCUAAGAGUUCUGAGUAUUUCCAAUAUAAAUAUUUAAAUACACUUUAAUCUAAAAGCAGCAAGCAAUGUGUAGAUGCUGCUGGUAUAACUCAUGUGAUGAAAUUUAAUAUUUUAUUCUAAAAUUAUACUCUUUUGGUAGCUAAAUCAAGCUGAAAAUUGAUACUUGGUAUAAAAGCACCUUUAUAUAUUAAUAGAUUUUGAAAGCAUUAUUAGAGCCUUGAUUGAAACUAUUCCCUUCUGUGGAAAUGAGAAAGGAUUUUAAUUAGCUUUAUUAAAACUUUAGGUAGUGAUAAAUGACUAAAGUCCUUCUUUAAAACCUUCCUGUGUUUUUAUUAUUAGAAUUUGUUUAAUGGAACUCAUUACUAAGCCAACUCACUUCAACUGUUUAAUUCUCAGAAAGUAUCUUAGUGAAAAGUUCUUGGUUAGAAAAUUGUUGCUUUUAAGACGGAAAGUGCCCCCCCUGUCCAAAUGGCAAUUAAAAGAAAUAGGUCAGGCUGAUCCUCUGCCUUAGGGGCGAGGUCAGAUGAAGUCAAAUAUAAUGAAAGAAGAAAUGGUGUAAUGUGAAGUCAGUUAAGAAAAGCAGCAGAUACUCAUAAACAUUUCUGUGGAAAGUUACCAAAUUUCCAGAAGUUAUUUUUUUAGGUACUUAGGAAUGGCACUUGCUGAACAGCACAUGUACUACUGUGGUUGCUUAAACAGAGAACAGGCACUGAGAAUUUUCUAUGCUAUGCUUUUUUGUGUUUCUAUUAGGAUGGCAGAGCUAUAUAGAAUGUUUACAGACAACCUUUGCUGGGGUCAAUAAUCUACGUGACAACUUUCAUAGCAUAGAGCCUGGAGUUUCAAAAUCCCACUAAAAAGGCUGAAAUAAAACAGGAAUCCUCAGAAGUGCAACAUUGGUAUCAACUGAUAAUGGAUUCUAAGGAAAACUGUUUUAAUCUAAAUGUCUGUCUCCGUCAACCAUCAAUAUCACCUGUUUCUCUUUGUACACCUCUUAAAUAUAAGAAGUUGCAAAACUUAGAUUCUUAUCUUUCUUAUUCAUUAGGGACAAGGUGUUUUAAGAGACACGUGAGCCAACCCCGAUGGCAUGCUGGUUUCCCCUGCGCUUUCUGACUCUUAUCAAGUUCUUUGGUACACUUUUGGACUGUGAUCCUUACCCAGCGUCCAUGGUACCAAAAGGUACUAUGCAAGCAUCAAAGAGAAGGAAGCAAUCAAUAACUCAGAAGCAACACCAAUGAACCAUAACAAUUGUUAACAAGCAUAUUCAGAGAAGACACACCUGUAAAGUCUCAUCAGCAUACUUAAGCAAGACAUGAAUAACAAUGGCAUGGCACCAACAAGCAGUAAAAAAUGAACAAAGAGAGUUCUUGGGGACUUGACUCUCUUCAAAGAACUAUAGGUAACUUAUAAUUUCUGAGAGCAUGAAAAGUGUAUGUGUGUGUGCAUGCAUAUGCAUGUGUGACUACUUACAUAUAUAUAUAGGUUCAUUAAUUUCAAAUAGGGAAAGAGAGUGUAGUCCUGGAGAUAAAAUGGAGAGAGAAUAGUGAAAGGCAAAAUUGAAUAAUUAUAUUUUAAUUGGAAAAAAUAUUUUUUUGAAAAUUGCUAUUUAUGUAUAAUCUCAAAAAGUUAAGUGUGAGUGAGAAGUAGACAUUGUUAGCCAGUUCAAUGGUAGUGACAGCCCCCUAUCAGUUAUCACACUGUAUUUGUUAUUUUUCUGUUGCUAUUUGAAAAUUCUCUGACAAAACAACUUAAAGAAGAAAAGUUUAUUUUAGCACGUGGUUUCUGAGAGAUGGAUUUCAUCCAUGUUGUUGAAGUCAUGCAUAUCAGGGAGCUGGCUGAUAUUUUUAUUCUCAUACAGGAGAUAGAGAGAGGGAGAUGAUAUAGAGAUAA